GCAGUGGUAGUUCAGUGGUAGAAUUCUCACCUUCCAAGUGGGAGACUCAGGUUCAAUUCCCAGCCAACGCA
rnacentral:tRNA from 1 species